rnacentral:rRNA from 1 species
AUUGAACGCUGGCGGCAUGCCUUACACAUGCAAGUCGAACGGUAACAGGUCUUCGGAUGCUGACGAGCGGCGAACGGGUGAGUAAUACAUCGGAACGUGCCUAGUAGUGGGGGAUAACUACUCGAAAGAGUGGCUAAUACCGCAUGAGAUCUACGGAUGAAAGCAGGGGAUCGCAAGACCUUGUGCUACUAGAGCGGCCGAUGGCAGAUUAGGUAGUUGGUGGGAUAAAAGCUUACCAAGCCGACGAUCUGUAGCUGGUCUGAGAGGACGAUCAGCCACACUGGGACUGAGACACGGCCCAGACUCCUACGGGAGGCAGCAGUGGGGAAUUUUGGACAAUGGGCGAAAGCCUGAUCCAGCAAUGCCGCGUGCAGGAUGUAGGCCUUCGGGUUGUAAACUGCUUUUGUACGGAACGAAAAGCCCUGGGUUAAUACCCUGGGGUCAUGACGGUACCGUAAGAAUAAGCACCGGUUAACUACGUGCCAGCCGCCGCCGUAA